GAUGAACGCUAGCGGCAGGCUUAAUACAUGCAAGUCGAACGGUAAGGUCUCUUCGGAGACACACGAGUGGCGCACGGGUGCGUAACGCGUAUGCAACCUACCUUAACUGGGAAAUAGCCCCGAGAAAUCGGGAUUAAUGUCCCAUAUUAUUUUCUGAAAGCAUUUUCGGGAAAUGAAAGCUCCGGCGGUUAUUGAUGGGCAUGCGUGACAUUAGCUAGUUGGUGAGGUAACGGCUCACCAAGGCAACGAUGUCUAGGGGUCCUGAGAGGGUUAUCCCCCACACUGGUACUGAGACACGGACCAGACUCCUACGGGAGGCAGCAGUAAGGAAUAUUGGGCAAUGGACGCAAGUCUGACCCAGCCAUGCCGCGUGAAGGAUGAAUGUCCUAUGGAUUGUAAACUUCUUUUAUGCAGGAAAAAUAUCCUGGUCGAGCACCGGGACUGAUGGUACUGUAUGAAUAAGCAUCGGCUAACUCCGUG
rnacentral:rRNA from 1 species